ACCAAUUGAAAUAAAAGAAGUAAAGGAUUACGGCGAAUGAUAAAGUCCUCCACUGGCAGUAUUGUUCUUGCUCCAAACCCAGAGGUGGCCACAGACAAAACCACAGUUCAUUUGGUGGCUGAAGCUUACUGAAAACUUCCUUUCGUCUUGAUGCAGCCAGCUUUUUGGAUUACAUGGCAAGGGUGGCCUGAGCAAAGCGAUGGGAAAGAGUUGUUGGUGGAACAGUGAGUGCUUGUGACUGUGGGACUAGAGCCU
rnacentral:lncRNA from 10 species